UACGUAGGGUGCAAGCGUUAAUCGGAAUUACUGGGCGUAAAGCGCGCGCAGGCGGUUUCUUAAGUCUGAUGUGAAAGCCCGCGGCUCAACCGUGGAGGGUCAUUGGAAACUGGGGAACUUGAGUGCAGAAGAGAAAAGCGGAAUUCCACGUGUAGCGGUGAAAUGCGUAGAGAUGUGGAGGAACACCAGUGGCGAAGGCGGCUUUUUGGUCUGUAACUGACGCUGAGGCGCGAAAGCGUGGGGAGCAAACAGG
rnacentral:rRNA from 1 species